AAAAGUAGAGGUCGCGCCUGACAUGAGGAAACCGGCGGAUGCGGGGGACAGAGAAGCCGGGGAAGGGGAUGGCGCCGAAGGCUGGUUCACUUCCCCAAAGGGGCUGUGCCUGGGCAUAUGGUGAAGAACCAUAUGACUGUCAUCUUAGUGCAGAUAAGGUGGAGGGCUACGUGA
rnacentral:ncRNA from 1 species